GAUGAACGCUGACAGAAUGCUUAACACAUGCAAGUCAACUUGAACUUCGGUUUGGGUGGCGGACGGGUGAGUAACGCGUAAAGAACUUGCCUCACAGCUAGGGACAACAUUUGGAAACGAAUGCUAAUACCUGAUAUUAUGAUUUUAGGGCAUCCUAGAAUUAUGAAAGCUAUAUGCGCUGUGAGAGAGCUUUGCGUCCCAUUAGCUAGUUGGAGAGGUAACGGCUCACCAAGGCGACGAUGGGUAGCCGGCCUGAGAGGGUGAACGGCCACAAGGGGACUGAGACACGGCCCUUACUCCUACGGGAGGCAGCAGUGGGGAAUAUUGGACAAUGGACCAAGAGUCUGAUCCAGCAAUUCUGUGUGCACGAUGAAGUUUUUCGGAAUGUAAAGUGCUUUCAGUUGGGAAGAAAAAAAUGACGGUACCAACAGAAGAAGUGACGGCUAAAUACGUG
rnacentral:rRNA from 1 species